rnacentral:ribozyme from 1 species
AAGGCAAAGAAAGAAACAAAGGAGACAGAGGAAACAAGAGAAAGAAUCAGUGGAGGCAGGAUGCCAUCUGUUUGUUCCAGUUCUGCCUCUCCCUCUUCCCAGCCUCCCGUUUUUCCUGCUUCCUCUGCUUCUUCUUUACCUCCCCCUUCUUUUUCAUUUCCCCCUUUUCUGAAUCAAGACAGGAAGGAAAGAAUGGAAGAAAGAAAUGGAA